GCCGGGGUGGCGGAACUGGCAGACGCACAGGACUUAAAAUCCUGCGGUAAGCGAUUACCGUACCGGUUCGAUUCCGGUCCUCGGCACCA
rnacentral:tRNA from 2 species